ACAUGCAAGUCGAGGGGCAGCAUGGUCUUAAGCUUGCUAAGGCCGAUGGCGACCGGCGCACGGGUGAGUAACACGUAUCCAACCUGCCGUCUACUCUUGGACAGCCUUCUGAAAGGAAGAUUAAUACAAGAUGGCAUCAUGAGUCCGCAUGUUCACAUGAUUAAAGGUAUUCCGGUAGACGAUGGGGAUGCGUUCCAUUAGAUAGUAGGCGGGGUAACGGCCCACCUAGUCUUCGAUGGAUAGGGGUUCUGAGAGGAAGGUCCCCCACAUUGGAACUGAGACACGGUCCAAACUCCUACGGGAGGCAGCAGUGAGGAAUAUUGGUCAAUGGGCGAGAGCCUGAACCAGCCAAGUAGCGUGAAGGAUGACUGCCCUAUGGGUUGUAAACUUCUUUUAUAAAGGAAUAAAGUCGGGUAUGCAUACCCGUUUGCAUGUACUUUAUGAAUAAGGAUCGGCUAACUCCGUGCCAGCAGCCGCGGUAAUACGGAGGAUCCGAGCGUUAUCCGGAUUUAUUGGGUUUAAAGGGAGCGUAGAUGGAUGUUUAAGUCAGUUGUGAAAGUUUGCGGCUCAACCGUAAAAUUGCAGUUGAUACUGGAUAUCUUGAGUGCAGUUGAGGCAGGCGGAAUUCGUGGUGUAGCGGUGAAAUGCUUAGAUAUCACGAAGAACUCCGAUUGCGAAGGCAGCCUGCUAAGCUGCAACUGACAUUGAGGCUCGAAAGUGUGGGUAUCAAACAGGAUUAGAUACCCUGGUAGUCCACACGGUAAACGAUGAAUACUCGCUGUUUGCGAUAUACGGCAAGCGGCCCAAGCGAAAGCGUUAAGUAUUCCACCUGGGGAGUACGCCGGCAACGGUGAAACUCAAAGGAAUUGACGGGGGCCCGCACAAGCGGAGGAACAUGUGGUUUAAUUCGAUGAUAC
rnacentral:rRNA from 1 species